CAGUCGCCACGGUAAUACAGAGGGUGCGAGCGUUAAUCGGAUUUACUGGGCGUAAAGCGUGCGUAGGCGGCUUUUUAAGUCGGAUGUGAAAUCCCUGAGCUUAACUUAGGAAUUGCAUUCGAUACUGGGAAGCUAGAGUAUGGGAGAGGAUGGUAGAAUUCCAGGUGUAGCGGUGAAAUGCGUAGAGAUCUGGAGGAAUACCGAUGGCGAAGGCAGCCCCCUGGGCCAAUACUGACGCUCAUGCACGAAAGCGUGGGGAGCAAACAGGAUUAGAUACCCCAGUAGUCCCUGUCUCUUAUAC
rnacentral:rRNA from 1 species